rnacentral:misc_RNA from 1 species
AUCGCUUUUAAUUGAAAGAACAAAUAAAAUCCGUCUUUUAUAAAAUAUUUUAGGGAGUUUGACUGUAAUUGAACUAAUUUUGGUACGAUUGUGAAGUGAAAGAAUAAUGAAAAAUGUCGGACAGGUUUUGUGUUGUCAAUAUAUUUUCGUAAAUAAUUGUUACUGUGUAAUUUUCUCAGAGGUUCGAUCCGAAGUGCAUAUCCAAUGAAUUGCCAUACGUAUUUAGAAAGACAAUAACCCUGGAGUAAUAUUUUAUUUGAAAUCACGUAUUUUUAUUGUGUAAUGUUCCCCUACGUCAGCGCUUGGUCUUUAAUUUGAUUGUUAGAAAUGGAUCAAGCUCAAGGAAAUGUUGCAGGGGCUGCCUUUUACCAGCUUAGUAUUACUGUUGAGUCUGCCAACUUAAGACCUAGCAUGCUCCUCAAGCCUUACGUAGAGAUCCUAGUAGACGAUAGGGGCGCUCAAAAGACUGAGACGGUAAAAACGAGUAGCUGCCAACCGAAAUGGAACGAAACAUUUACUUGCUUGGUCACACCUCGAUCGAAGAUCCUUUUCCAAGUCAAGGAUCAUUACAGAUAUAAAAAAGACACUGUCAUAGGAGAGAAAAAAGUCGAUUUGUUUAUGUUAUUGUUUCAUUUUAACGGAAGAUGUGAUAAUUUGGAUGUUACGUUAGAUCUCAUGGGCGAAGCGAAACAGAACGAUGGUCCACAAAAAGUUGGUGAAUUAAUUUGUACAUUUAAGGGACUAAUCGUUGAUAUGACUCAAUACAUCCGCUCAAAUGACUCUUUACCACUAGGACAGAACAAUACAGACUCUACGACUAGGGCGGUUUUAAAUGGCAUUCGAGCCAAAAUUAAAGGCCAAGGAGCAGAGAAUGUAAUGCCGACUCAGAAUUCCUCAACAACACCAGCUACAACUAGAAACAGUACAGAAAGGAUAGAGGCUAGAAGAAGCCAGGUUGUGACACCAGCUGCUACACCCUUGCCGAUGUCCACCAGCAGCAACAAUAUUCCUAAUGGCUGCAUCGGACCACCAAUAACUGUGCCAAAUGGUAACGUCGUACACAGCGAGUCGGAUGAAACCAGAGCCGAUGCCGAACCUUUGCCACCUGGUUGGGAGCUUCGAUUUGAUACAUACGGCCGAAGAUAUUAUGUGGACCACAAUACGAGGUCGACGUCUUGGGAACGACCACAGCCUUUACCGCCUGGAUGGGAGAUGCGGCGGGAUCCCAGAGGUCGCGUCUACUAUGUAGAUCACAACACGAGGACCACUACAUGGCAGAGGCCGAAUUCUGAGAGACUGCAGCACUAUCAGCAAUGGCAGGGACAGAGACAGCACAUCGUUUCACAAGGUAAUCAAAGAUUUUUGUAUCCCCAACACCAACCCGGGCCCAUACCAGGUCCCUCGGUUGUUGCUGACGACGACGACGGUCUGGGUCCUCUUCCUUCUGGAUGGGAAAGACGCGUGCAGCCAGAAGGUCGUGUGUAUUUUGUCAACCACAAGAACAGGACCACCCAAUGGGAAGACCCGCGGACUCAAGGACAGGAGAUCAGCGAAGUUGAGGAGUUACCUUUACCGCCUGGCUGGGAAAUUAGAUAUACGGAGGACAACAAAAGGUACUUCGUGGAUCACAAUACGAAAUCGACGACUUUCGACGAUCCAAGACCAGGGGCGCCUAAAGGGCCCAAAGGAGUGUACGGCGUACCGAGGGCGUAUGAAAGGUCGUUCAAAUGGAAAAUUAGUCAGUUCAGAUUUUUGUGUCAAAGCAACGCCCUCCCCAGCCAUAUAAAGAUCCAAGUCACCCGCCAAACCUUAUUCGAAGACUCUUUCCACACCAUCAUGAGGUUACCGGCGUACGAACUGCGCAGACGGCUCUACAUCAUCUUCAAAGGUGAAGAAGGCUUAGAUUAUGGCGGCGUUAGCAGAGAAUGGUUCUUCCUCGUCUCCCACGAAGCGCUCAACCCUAUGUAUUGUCUGUUUGAAUACGCGAACAAAAACAACUACAGUCUACAGAUCAAUCCUGCUUCGUAUGUGAACCCGGAACACUUGACGUAUUUCAAAUUUAUAGGUAGAUUUAUAGCGAUGGCGCUCUACCACGGUAGGUUCAUCUAUUCCGGAUUCACGAUGCCUUUCUACAAGAGAAUGCUGGGCAAGAAACUUGUGAUGAAGGACAUCGAAAGUAUAGAUCCAGAAUUUUACAAUUCGCUUGUGUGGAUAAAAGAGAACGACAUCGACGAUUGCGGUCUGGAGUUGUACUACAGUGUAGAUUUUGAAGUUUUGGGCCAGAUAGUUCAUCACGAAUUAAAGAAAAACGGGGACAAAGAAAGAGUCACCGAAGAAAACAAAGAGGAGUAUUUGACGUUAAUGACUGACUGGAGGAUGACGAGAGGUAUCGAAGAACAGACCCAGGCAUUCCUCGAUGGUUUUAAUGAAGUAGUACCGAUUGAAUGGCUGAAAUAUUUUGACGAACGAGAACUGGAACUUUUAUUAUGUGGAAUGCAAGAGAUUGAUGUCGAGGACUGGCAGAGGCACACGAUAUACAGGCAUUAUACAAGAAAUAGUAAACCCGUAGCCUGGUUUUGGCAGUUUGUCAAGCAAUCAGACAAUGAAAAACGGGCUCGAUUACUACAAUUCGUAACCGGUACUUGUCGAGUACCAGUAGGAGGUUUCGCGGAACUGAUGGGAUCCAACGGUCCUCAAAGGUUCUGCAUAGAAAAAGUAGGCAAAGAAUCGUGGCUGCCCCGCUCACACACCUGCUUCAACAGGCUGGACCUUCCUCCAUACAAAAGCUACGAACAACUCGUAGAGAAACUGACGUACGCUAUAGAAGAAACCGAUACUUUUGGACAAGAAUAAUAAUCUUCACUUCUAAAUGUAUUUGUACCUGAUUCCGACAUAUAAGUCUAUUUCCUCUAGAAGUUUUUGUUUUUGGGUGGUCUUAGAUAUGUAGUAACUGCAUCGCAAAAUGUUGAAAUUGUUCCUUAUACGGAAGAAUCUGAAAGUAUUUCUGAUGUUUCUAUAAAAUUACAAAAAUUGGACGUUUUAAUAAUACUAAGCGAAAUAAACAAACGGUUUAUUAGCAAUAUUCACAAUUCUUCAUCUUAUUCUUGUAUCGUGGUUUUUGUUGGUGAGCUAUGUACUUUUUUGCUAUUUUAAAGUUUAAAUUAUCAAUAGUAAUGAUUCAUCCCAUCUCUAUUUUUCAAAAAUCUCCCAUCUAUUUCAAGCAAGAACGUUACUGUGAGGUUUUGUUAUUGGGAAAGUCGUAUAAUGUAUUGAUAUUGUACAAGAGACCUUGAAUGGUUAAGCUGUAACUUUAGCUUGUUUUUUGACAGUUAAGUUAUGCAUUCUAACCAAUUUUCAAGUUGAAAUCAUCAAAAGUAACGACUCAGUUCAAUUGUGGUUCCCAUCACUAACGUAGGCAAAAUUUUUUCUGAUAUAGAAGAUAUUUUAAAAAUGGAAGAGAUUCUUUCAUCUCUGAUAAUAAUUAUAUUUUUCCCAGCGGUGGUUCUUUUGUGAUUUCUGGCGAAAACAUACAUACCGAAAUAUACAUUUUUUGACAGUUCAGUCACGCCGUUUAGCCAAUUUUCAAGUUCGAAUCAUCAAAAGUAACGACUCAGUACAAUUUUGUUUCCCAUCUCUAAUAUAGGGGAAAUAUUUCUGGUAUAGAAGAAAUUUUAAAAAUAGAAGAGAUACUCUCAUCUUUUAUAAAGAUUAUGUUUUUCACAGCGGGGGUCUUUUGUGAUUUCUGGCAGAAACAUACAGUACACCGACAUUAUACAAGCAAUAGAGCUUUAGCUUGGUUUGAUAGUUUUGUCACGCCUUUUAGCCAAUUUUCAAGUUCGAAUCAUUAAAAGUAAUGACUCAGCAAAAUUUUGUUUAGGGAUUGGGGGGGGGGGGGAUACUCACAAUUUUACUUUUUACCCAUUUUUGUCCAGUCGAAAACAUUUAAGUCCUAAAAUCAUAUAAAGGAGCGAUUUAGUCAAGUAGUAUUUUAACCAUCUCUAAUAUGUAUAUACGGGAGGCCUACGUGCAACAGUGGACAAGUAUAGGCUGAAUGAUGAAUAUGUAUAUAAAAAAUAUUCGUGAUACAUAAGAAAUACUUUCAUUUUUAAUAGAUGUUAUAUUUUUUUAUUACUUUCAGUCCAUUUAAAAGUUCGAAUCAUGAAAAAUAACGAUUAUAAAAAUUCGCCAUCUCUAAUACGUACUAUGUUUUAUUCUCAGUGAUUUUUUUUAUGACAUAUUCAUUUAUGUUUUGCGAUGCAGUUAUUUACGAAGUGCAACAGGGUUCAUAGAAAAUAUUUAUUUAUAUUUUACAGUAGCUCAUAUACAUAUUACUAUAAUUCGUAUAUACAGGGUGUGCUUUUUAUUUAACACUUUAUUCAUAUAUAUUGUCUUUAUAAUAAAGUCACUAUUUCGUGAGAUAUGAACUCUGAUGUAUGUAUCACUUUUUAUCGUGUUUCUAGUAAUUGGCAAAUAUACAGAAAAUUUUUGAAAAUUUUAAAGUUUUAUGAUAUAGUUGGUCAUAUUUUGACGAGCUCUAAAACCAAAUGUUUGUUAUUCACAAUAAAACCAAUAAUUCAACACUAAAACAAUUUUUCUGCAUAAAAAAAGUCGUAUAUGAAGAUAUACAGGGUGUUUGGUAAAGAAUGGGCUAUAGCUUAACCUUAGAUUCCUCUGCUUAAAAUAGGUCGAUUUAAGCUAACUUACCUUAGUACAAAAGUUGAUAAUAACCGAAAUACAGGGUGCCAAAGUUAAACUUUUAUUUUAUUUAUUUUUGAAUAUUUCCAUGGGCAUGGGACAACAACACGAAAUUUGGUAAGUGGUGCUGGUAUUGUACAAUCUACUAAAUUAUGUUAAACAAACGUUUCUGGCUACUACCAGAGGCGUACGACGGGGAAACGUGAAUGGUUGACCCUUCCCAAAUUCUACGCCACUGGUGGAAUUGCUAUUUUAGCGCAAGUUUUUGAUUCUCCAAUACUUUCUAUGUAAAAACAUACUCUUCAUUCGUAACGAUAGAGCCAUUAGUUUUCGAGAUAUUUGAAGCUAAAAACGACCGAGCAUAAUACAUUAAUCAAAAUAAGUGUGCCUUUUCAUAUUUAACUUCAAAUAUCUCGAAAACUAAUGACUUUAUCGUUACGAAUGAAGAGUAUAUUAUUUGCAUAGAAAGUAUUGGAGAAUCUAAAAAUUAUGCUAAAAUAGCAGUUUCAUCAGUGGCGUAGAAUUUGGGAAGGGCCAACCAUUCACUUUUUCCUGUCGUACGCCUCUGGUAUUAACCAGAAACGAUUAUUUAACAUAAUUUAGUAGGGUGUACAGUACCUACAUUUUCUGCCAAAUACCAUAAGGAUGUGCCAAAUAGUUUUAUAGUACCAGACACACAUAGUUCUUAUAGUUCCUAAGUUUUAAAUAAAGAAUAAAUUAUUUAAAAAAAAGAAUACUUUAAAAUAAUUUCACAUAUCCGUGUGAUACUUGGCAGAAAGUGUAGGCACUGUACACCCUACUAAAUUUUGUUAAAUAAUCGUUUCAGGCUACUACCAGAGGCGUACGACAGGGGAAAGUGAAUGGAUGACCCUUUCCAAAUUCUACGCCACUGAUGAAACUGCUAUGUUAGCAUAAUUGUUAGAUUCUCCAAUACUUUCUAUGCAAAUAAUAUACUCUUCAUUCGUAACGAUAAAGUCAUUAGUUUUCGAGAUAUUUGAAGUUAAAUAUGAAAAGGCACACUUAUUUUGAUUAAUGUAUUAGCUUCAAAUAUCUAGAAAACUAAUGGAAACAAAUUACGAAUGAAGAGUAUGUUUUUUACAUAAAAAGUAUUGGAGAAUCAAAAAAUUGCACUAAAAUAGCAAUUCGUGCUAUCCAAAGUGUUCGAAAACCUUUUAUUAACCAGACUAACGCCUCUCCUAGAAGACAAGGUAAUAAUUCCAACUCACCAAUUUGGAUUCAGGCAGAAACAUUCUACCAUUCAACAAGUACAUCGAAUAGUAAACAGAAUCCAUAAAGACCUCGAAGCAUCCAGAUAUUGCUCCGCCCUGAUCAUAGACAUAGGACAAGCGUUUGACAAGGUAUGGCACCAGGGGUUGCUCUAUAAGCUAGCUCAUUUUGGAACUACUAAUGAAAUAAAAAAUUUUAGUAGUUCCAAAAUGACACAAAAUCUAGGCAUCGGAUAAAAAAGUUUAUUUGAAGAAAGUGCAUUUUUUUGUUCUUCUUAAUGGCGGUACAGGUUCGUUUUUUUAAUAUUGUAUUUAAUUACAGAGUAAUUUCCACAUAUUAAUAUAUUUUUCAAAUUGGGCUCUGUACCGCCAUUCUUUAUUAUAUUACGAAUACGUGUGCCAAAUAUCUCGAAAAAAUAUUCAAAAUUACAGCCGCAAUCUUGGAACGCGUUUUUGCUACCUGUUGAUCGCUACUGUAUCACCUUAAGAGCGGCAUAUUAAUGGGUAUGUUCGCCACAUGUCAAUAGUUUAGCCGACAAAAAUAUUACUUAAUGCUUAUUACUUUGUAAAAAACGGCAGAUUGUAAUAAAUUGGGAUGUCAAUAAAAAAAAUAGCAAUUCCGCCAGUGGCGUAGAAUUUGGGAAGGGUCAACCAUUCACGUUCCCCUGUCGUACGCCUCUGGUAGUAACCAGAAACGUUUGUUUAACAUAAUUUAGUAGAUUGUACAAUACCAGCACCACUUACCAAAUUUCGUAUUGUUGUCCCAUGCCUGUCAGGAAAUAUUCAAAAAUAAAUAAAAUAAAAGUUUAACUUUGACACCCUGUAUUUAGGUUAUUAUCAACUUUUGUACUAAGGUAAGUUAGCUUAAAUCGACCUAUUUUGACCUCAGGAAUCUAAAGUUAAGCUAUGGCCCAUUCUUUACCAAACACCCUGUAUACAGAUGACAUAAAUUCACUUAAAAGUACUUUAUUUUUGCAACAGUCUCGAGAUAUUACAAAUUAUACAUUUAAAAAAUCGUACUUUAAUAAGUAUAUUGGUGUUUUUACUCUACUAAUGAGUUGUAGACAAGUUUGAAUGAAUCAGUACAGCUCUAUCAUCCUGUUUGCAAUCCAAAUUGCUAUAAAUGAUGUUGGAUUAUUGGUGAUAAUAACUAUAUGCUUAUUAUUAUGUUGCUGUCGCAUUAAUUACUAAAUGUAUAUGUUGCAAAUCCAGUCUGAUCCGUCUACGAACUUCUGAUAUUGCCAACUACUAACGCUCACUUAUUUUCGCACUUUCCUAAGGGAAUUGAAGGAGUAUAUUAUAAACCCGUGGGAUUCUCCCAACUCAGUAUUCACUUCCCACAACUUUUUAACUGUAUUUACUUAAAUGUGAUAUCUAGUAAUAUAUUGGCCUACUUCUGCUGUUAGAUGUAUCUUUUACUGUGGAAAGUCGAUGGUUGAAUUAUUUUCGAAGUUAUCACAAGAAUUGAAGACGUAUUUGAGGUAUGAAACGUUUAUGUUUUGAUAAAAAAAUCACCAGCAAACAACGGUUCAUUCAGAGGUUUUUCUAGGGCGAUUCGGGAUACAAAUUUGAAUUAAACAGUAAAUAAAUAAUACAAUAUACGUUGAUGACCGCGCUAAUAACCGGCAAAAUAACGCAAAAGAUGGAAAACAUAUUAAGUUGUGAUAUAAAAAGAGAUGAAACACUAGAGGUGGAAAUUUAGCGAUAGAAACCUAUAAAUUUACAUUUUAUUGAUUGUUUCACACCUUUAGACGCAUCAGAGGAGUAUGUCAACUAAAACUGUCACUGCCACAUUGGUAGUGGCCAAAUUCGUCCGACACGUCUGAAGGUGGGAAACAAUCAAUUAAAUGUAAAUUUAUAAGUUUCUAUCGCUAAACUUCCACAACUUAAUAUGGUUUCCGACUUUUACGUUAUUUUGCCGGUUAUUAGCGCACUAAUCACUGUAUAUACUAUUUUUUUUGUCAGAUAUCGGCAAUAAUGCCGAGAAAUUCUAUCCUGAACCUUUCUUUGCAGAGUAUUUCAGAUUCAAAAGCUUCGAACGAAACUUUUUAUUCAAAAACGACACAUUUUGUGAAUGGCCGUUUUAUUUUUCCGGUGAAUGUAUGACUUUGUAUGCCGAAACUUACUUUUUAUGGAUUCUACAUGUCGUGAUUGACAUAGGUGUCAGGCAAGUUUUGGAACUAGAAACGGAUAGACUGAAAAAUUUAACCAAAUUAGACUAAAAUAAUGUUUAUUGCUGAUACUUACAAUUUUACUGCUGUAACGAAGAUACAAUUGCGUCUAAAAUAGAAUCUCAAAAUGCUUCUUCAUUCUUUUUUGGACAGCGUUGAAGAAAUCUUUUGUUAGAACUCGCGAAUUCUCACCAGUUAGUCUUCAAAGGCAGAAAUCGAAGGUCUACUGGAAUUCUAUUGACCGUCUUCUAAAACUCUGGGCGUCAUUUUGUCAAAUAUUCAUGUCUAUACACCAACGAACUGUCAAUACUGAUGGAAUGGCCCCGUCUCAUUCAUACAGUGAAGCGAGAUUGCGGCCAACAUACAAGAGAGAGGUCCUAGAGAGACAGAGAAUUUGUCAGGGAAAAUUUGCUAUAACUACCACCAGAGUUGCCAGAUGAUUUUAUAAAUCCCCCACUUCGAAUCUGAAAUUCCCUCAAAUUGAAGCUUAAAUCCCCCAAAUUUAAAUUUUUGCCGCAUUUUAAUAAAUUAGUAGUCAAAUGUAGAGAACAGUAAACCAAUAUUAUUAAACAACUUAUCUACAGAGGGCCCUGGAAAUAAUUCAUAGGUCCUAUCGUCUUCGAUUAUAUGAGAGUAUAAUAUACAGUUGUACCCCCCCCCCCAAUUGUUUCUGCUUAGAAAAAUUCCCUAGACGCUUUCAAAUUACUCCAAAAUUGUGGGAAAAUACCCCAAUCUAGCAAUCCUGACUACCUAUAUUAAUUUUUUUGUUUACGAAAUAUGUCUUACCUUCCCUGACUAUCGCUCUCUCAUCCUGGUCGCAUUAAAUUCGCUUCAUGCUCAAUCCAUCAGUAUUGACAGUUCGUUGCUAUACACCGAUAAACAAAUUGACAGCUGUCAAUGUAACACAGAGCCAUGGCCAGCUUGGUGUGGUAGCGAUUUAAAUAGGCAGAAUUAAAUUAAAUAGCAAUGUUGCCAGAUUGGACUAAAAUCUUUCCUUCUAGGUAUUACGGCUUGAUUUACUUUAUAUUGACAUGCCAAUGAGUUAAAUACAAUUUUAAUGAUUUAAAAUUGAAUUUAACUCAUAGCCAUGUUCGUUUUUUUUUACAGUUCGUGCUUCUGAAAUUAACCAAAUCAUCGACCUUUUGCAUCGGUAUACUAAUAAUGUAUAUAAUGACUGUAGAAAGUACAUAUAUAGCGAUUAUUUUUGAAAGAAAAGUUCAAGUAACAAGACUCGAACAUUCCUGAUAACUAUUAUUUACUUGUAAGAGAUUAAUUAGUCUAUAUAUAACGGCCUCAACGGAAAAAGAACCAAAGGUUUUGUUGAUUUUUUCUAUACACACCGUAUUUAUUUUUAAUCAAUCCGUAUAAGUUUGUAUAUUUUAAUUUUAAUGUAUAGAAUUGUAAAUGAUAAAUUAUAGAUGUAAAUAUAUGAAUGUAUAUAUAGAACGUACUACAAUAAAUUAUGGAUUAUU